rnacentral:rRNA from 1 species
UACGUAGGCAGCGAGCGUUGUUCGGAAUUACUGGGCGUAAAGAGUGUGUAGGCGGUGCUCUAAGUUCGGUGUGAAAUCUCCUGCUUAACUGGGAGGGUGCGCCGGAAACUGGAGUGCUUGAGCGUGGGAGAGGAAAGCGGAAUUCCUGGUGUAGCGGUGAAAUGCGUAGAUAUCAGGAGGAACACCUGUGGUGUAGACGGCUUUCUGGACCAUAGCUGACGCUGAGACACGAAAGCGUGGGUAGCAAACAGG